rnacentral:rRNA from 1 species
GAUGAACGCUGGCGGCGUGCCUAAUACAUGCAAGUCGAGCGAACGGACGAGAAGCUUGCUUCUCUGAUGUUAGCGGCGGACGGGAGAGUAACACGUGGAUAACCUACCUAUAAGACUGGGAUAACUUCGGGAAACCGGAGCUAAUACCGGAUAAUAUUUUGAACCUCAUGGUUCAAAAGUUAAAGACGGUCUUGCUGUCACUUAUAGAUGGAUCCGCGCUGCAUUAGCUAGUUGGUAAGGUAACGGCUUACCAAGGCAACGAUGCAUAGCCGACCUGAGAGGGUGAUCGGCCACACUGGAACUGAGACACGGUCCAGACUCCUACGGGAGGCAGCAGUAGGGAAUCUUCCGCAAUGGGCGAAAGCCUGACGGAGCAACGCCGCGUGAGUGAUGAAGGUCUUCGGAUCGUAAAACUCUGUUAUUAGGGAAGAACAUAUGUGUAAGUAACUGUGCACAUCUUGACGGUACCUAAUCAGAAAGCCACGGCUAACUACGUG